ensembl:lncRNA
AUACAAUUCUAUUUUGAGUAUGUUACAAUUUCUCCAUAAGUCUUUUUUAAAAAGAAAUUCCUCAAAGAUACAAUAUCUUCUAUGAAUUCAAAUACCUUUAGAGUCUGUUUUCCAGUGCCACUGGGAAGCUUCCAUCUAUCUAGUAACUUGUCACUUCCAAGGGAAAGCCCCUCUCUUUGUGAUUGUUGAUGUCCCUGCUCCAUCCUCAUAAACACUUUCAACAACCACUCUGUUCUUAAACCUUAGGUUUUAGAAGCUUCUUUUAGAACCUACCUUUCAUUCUCAGACUCCAGCUAUUGAGUGACAACACUCAGAGUUCCAUCAGUUGCCUUGCUGGCAACCAUGAAAGGCUUCUCACAGUGAGCCAAGCCCCAUCUGUGGAACCCUGCAGGAGCCACCCUUGCCACCUUAAUUCAGAGGAGUUGAAGGAGGAUUAUGCUGUCAUAUGUGGGAUCUCAGGCAGAAGUGAAGGGGCCCAAGAUGAAGCCCAAAUAAAGGGCUCUAGGUUUGCAAAGCACUGGGCAGGUCAUCAUAUUCCAAGAGCAGCUCCCUGGGCACAGUCCACACUUAAGACCCUAAGCAAAUCUCCUGGAAUUGUAGACCAUCUUCCCACCUUCCCACUGAGAGGCUAUAAGAUCCAGUUAGCUCUCAGCAGCUGGACUUCUUCAUCUGUCAGAAAAUAGUGAGUAUUGUUCUGGCAACAAAAUAGUUGUAUAUCCUGAUCCCAGUAGAGGGCAGCAAGCCA